AUCUAAGAAACAGCAGCAAUCAGAGGUUGACAAGAAGAUUGCUAACCAGCCGCCCCAGCCCUGAAGGCCAGAAGCACUCUUGUGGUUACAUCAGUCCUGCCCAGAUAAUCCAGAUCCAUCUCCCCAUCUGAAGGUUCCUGAUCACACCUGCAAAGUCCCUUUGGUGUGUAAGUUAUGGAGAAGUAGGAUCACCCCCACAGACUGGAAUGGUGGCCUCCCAUGCAGAAGAGGGUUAACUAAUUUAGUUUUCCCAGUUGGGAUACCACAACCUUAGCAUGUGGAUUUAUCUUGAAACCAGGAAGCCUUGACAUACAUUGCCACCAAAACAAAAGAGGAAUCCCAGUUCUGUCCUAUAAUGAGACAACAAAGAAGCAUAGAUUCAGAAGACAUCUAUCCUGAUCACUGCAAAGUGCCUAAGCCUAGGCUCUGAGAAAGAACACCAACUGCCUCCAAGUUCUUCUGGAUAGUCUGUUCUACAUUUUCUUUACAUCUCCUCAAUGAAGGUUUCCAGUGCAUCUGUGUAAUGGACUGAAUAUUUAUGUGCCACCACACCAAAAUUCAUAUGUUGAAGCCCUAACCCCGACAUAACCAUAUUUUGAAAUAGGUUAGGGCCCUGAUCCAACAGGAUUAGUAUCCUUAAAAGAAGAAACACCAUUAGAUGCUCUCUUGCUCUCUCUCCCAC